CUAAGAAUAUUCCGCAAUGGACGGAAGUCUGACGGAGCGACGCCGCGUGGAUGACGAAGGCCGAAAGGUUGUAAAGUUCUUUUGCUGGGGAAGAAUAACCGCAGGAGGGAAUGCCUGUGGGAUGACAAGAACCGGCGAAUAAGCCCCGGCCAACUACGUGCCAGCAGCCGCGGUAACACGUAGGGGGGCGAGCGUUGUUCGGAAUUACUGGGCGUAAAGGGCAUGUAGGCGGCUUGGAAAGCCUGGCGUGAAAGUCUGCAGCUUAACUGCAGGGGUGCGCUGGGAACUGCUGAGCUUGAGUGACGGAGAGGGAGCUGGAAUUCCUGGUGUAGGGGUGAAAUCUGUAGAUAUCAGGAAGAACACCGAUGGCGAAGGCAAGCUCCUGGCCGAUGACUGACGCUGAGGUGCGAAAGUGUGGGGAUCAAACAGGAUUAGAUACCCUGGUAGUCCACACAGUCAACGAUGUGCACUAGGUGCUGGGGCGGUAGCUUCGGUGCCGGAGCGAACGUGGUAAGUGCACCGCCUGGGGAGUAUGCUCGCAAGGGUGAAACUUAAAUG
rnacentral:rRNA from 1 species